AAAAAAAACAACUAAAGCUAGCCCAGGAAAGCCCGGCCGGGCCUGGUUCGCUACUCAUACUUAGCCUAUCUAGUUCCACUACUAGACGUUUCCGCGGAGGCGCCACGUUGAGGCGACGGGUAGCUGGCAUCUUCCGAACGUCUGCUACCAACCUCUCUAAAAAAGCUGACGUUUUUUACAAAUGAUUAUCUGUCCUUAAUAAUUAAUUUAAUGAAGUAUAUUUGAGAAACAAGGCAAUCUUUCCAAAAUUCUUUCUUCAAAUUCUAAGAUGGCGGCAACCACUUUUUUUUUUAAGAUUAUGAAUUUAUGCGUUCAUGUUCAUGCUUAGGGACUAAUAUGAAAUCAAAUAUUUUAUUAUUUUAUUAUUUAAACAAAUGUUACGCAUUCUCAUUUAUCUAUGACUAAAUAAUGAAUUCAGCAAAACUUUUGCUUCACAUUAGCAUGAUUUAUUACAAAUUUUUCAUGACUUAUUGACUUAACACAACUUGAUCGUGACUUUAUAGAAGACCUCUUUA